ACGGAAGAAGGGGACUAUAAGGUCAAGCUUCGCAACCUUAUUCGUUUCCUGUCUGACGGGGACAAGGCCAAGGUAUCCUUGCGAUUCCGCGGCCGCGAGAUGGCUCAUCAGGAGCUGGGGAUGGAGUUGUUGAAGCGGGUUGAAGCUGACCUGAUUGAAUACGGCACCGUCGAACAGCACCCGAAAAUGGAAGGUCGUCAGCUGAUGAUGGUCCUCGCCCCCAAAAAGAAAAAGUAAUCUCCAGGGCAACGCCAGGCCUUGCGAUUAUCUGAUGCACUUCACUGUGGAGUAACUGAACAUGGCAAAGAUGAAGACCAAAAGCGCA
rnacentral:misc_RNA from 1 species